UGUCUGCUUUCGUGCGAUGGUUCUCGGACGCCCAAUUUGCUGACGAGAUGAAAAGGGAACACGGUGAGGCGUAGCCAAUAGGCACCAAAUCCGUGACUGCCCCCGCAACUGUGAGCGGUGAGCACCCCCAGCGAAAACCACUGGACGAUGCGUCUGGGAAGGUUUGGGGGAACGCAACGAUCCGCAAGUCAGGAGACCUGCCAUCACCGGCGUGCAUCC
rnacentral:ncRNA from 1 species